UCAAAUCAAACAACGUCUCUAAGUGCAGCAGAACUUACGAUGUCAGCCUAUCAUCCAUCCCCGUUACUUGAUUGACAUACAGGACAACCAGUCAGAUGACAACUGAAUUUUGACCUUUAGGUCACCGCUCAUGCGUAAACAACGAUGCAAAGUGCUAAGCUAGUCGGCGAAUUGCGUCAGAUUUUAAGACCUCGAUAAAGUUUAUGGUCACUAAAAUGAGUGAAGUAGCUGGACCAAGUAAAAAGGCAAAAACAUAUCACUUCCAUACGGAAUGGGAGGUGGACUUCUUUUUUUCACAAGGUCUUUUUCGAAGUGCGUUUGCCUGGCUAACCUGGCUAUCAGCAGCUACUGUCCGGACUAUGCAUCCCUGGCUGAUUCAAUUCAGUGCAAGUCAUCAAAGUAAACUCAGCCUGCGUGGACCUGUCUCAUUACGUCCAUCUCAACGAGUCACUCAGCUGAAAUCUGGAAGAGGGGGUGGGGAGCAGGUUAUACAAGGACAGAUCAUCGAUCUGUCCUUUGGGUUCCUCGGAGGCCCUUCGCUCACUGCCGACAUGUCUGCGAUUAGCUCGUCACUCUCCACAUUUCUGGAGCAGAACUAAUCACUGCUGCAGAGGAGACUCGGCCCAACGCUACCCGCGCAUGACCGUCUUGUCUGAUCAACGCAUACGCUAGACAGGAAGUUUGAUUUUCUAUGCAGACUGUUUCUGCUGUGUGGGUUGUUGUGUUUGUCAUUGAUCAACGAGACUGACUAACUCAAUAAAGACAUAAAUAUUCAACUUUAUUAACAGCUUUAGAUCGGCGCAUCCAUCCCGAGGUCUCUUUGAUUUUCUGUUCAAUAAAGAUGAAAUAAAAUGAACAGUAAUGUGAGGCAGCAUUGGGUAAACAUUCUAUAAAAUAUUAUGAUUUGAAUUACACACUGGACUGUUUGGACACCAAACGUCUUCAGCUACGGACUUGCUUAGAUGCUCAAUGCUGUAGUGUUCAAACGGAACACAGGGUUAUAUAAAUGAGGGUGGGCUCACUAUUACUCCAAUGCUGUUCACAAACAAUAGAACGUGACGAUUCUUCACCUUUUGUUAACUUUAUUGACACGCUAAAACCAAAUAAAGGUAGGUCAAAAUGUAAUAUUUACUUCACAUAUACAGUAGAACCUUGGUUAGUGUCAUUAAUUCCUUCCGUAAGGUCCGACUGUAACCAAAACUGAUGUUAACUGAAUACAUUUUUCUUAUAAAAGAAAUAAUGUAAAUGAACAUAUUUAUCAAUUAGUCAGUUUUCAGAAAGCCAAAGCAAGAUCAACCACCACCACCAUAGCGACGUAACUUCCGGUUCGGGUUGCCAUUUUGUAAGCUAGCGAAUGGAAUGCAAGGAAGGGUGUCUUGUGAUAAAAAUAAAUAAAUAAAUGAAGAACACAGUUGGACUCACGCAGUGGAUUAACAAAACAAGUUGCAUGUGCGCUAACCUGAAAAUGAACGCAAACCAAGGCAAAGGUGUGGCAUACAGUUUCUAUGUUAACCAAAAAACAUGCUAACCGAGGUACACGCUAACCGAGAUUCCAUUUGACAGUCAAACACCCCAGUUUUUGUAUGAUUUACUUUUCAUUGACAAAUCUUCACCAAAAUCCUGUCUUGGUUUUCGUACAGUCGCUGCUUUUGAACAAAAACCAAUUGUUCUGAAUACUAUAUUAAAUUUUGUGUUUAAAAUGUGCCACAGCCCAAUUAAAAAUGAAAUGCAGGCCCCAGGACCGGACAUUGACUACAGUCAUAAAUGUACAGUAUUGAGCCAUCUGGUACACCUACAGCAAGUAUAAAAAUAUAAAGAAUAACUUGCUCCAUAUACUUUCCGCCUAUUCAUGCUAUUAAUUUUGCAACAACAGCUGUUUUUCCCCUCGGUGAAGCCUCGUCACUAACAUUAGCGCCUAAUGUACUUUAUUCCCAGCAAACAUCUUCCUUUGAAAGUCAUUUAUAUUUGGCGCUAUUAAAUAUUGACUCUUUAUUUAAAUAUUUUACCACAAAUAAUGAGCGCUCUUGACCUCUUGUAUUUAAAUUUAAUCACCAUAUGCAGAAUUCAUUAGCUGCAUUUUCCCCUAGUCUGUCUUCUUAUAUAAUUGAAAGAAUUGGCCAAAAUAGGAAAAACCUACAAAUGAAGCAUUUUC